GAUGAAGAACGCAGCGAAAUGCGAUAAGUAAUGUGAAUUGCAGAAUUCAGUGAAUCAUCGAAUCUUUGAACGCACAUUGCGCCCCCCAGUAUUCUGGCGGGCAUGCCUGUUCGAGCGUCAUUUCAACCAUCAAGCCCUGCUUGUGUUGGGGUCCUGCGGCUGCCCGCAGGCCCUGAAAACCAGUGGCGGGCUCGCUAGUCACACCGAGCGCAGUAGCACAUCUCGCUCAGGGCGUGCGGCGGGCUCCAGCCGUUAAAGCACCCACCUUUCGCAAGGUUGACCUCGGUUCAGGUAGGAAUACCCGCUGAACUUAAGCAUAUCAAUAAGCGGAGGA
rnacentral:misc_RNA from 1 species